UACAGAGGGGGCAAGCGUUAUUCGGAAUUAUUGGGCGUAAAGGGCGCGUAGGCGGCUUGGCAAGUGGAAGGUGAAAUCCCUCGGCUUAACCGAGGAACUGCCCUCCAAACUGCUUUGCUUGAGGCCGGGAGAGGUGAGUGGAAUUCUCGGUGUAGCGGUGAAAUGCGUAGAUAUCGAGAGGAACACCUGCGGCGAAGGCGGGUUGCUGGGCCGACACUGACGCUGAUGCGCGAAAGCCAGGGGAGCGAACGGG
rnacentral:rRNA from 1 species